GGGGGGGGGGGGGGGGGGGGGGGGGGGGUGGGGGGCGGGGGGGGGGGUGGGGCGUGGGGGCGGGCGGGGGGGGGACGCGGGGGAACGGACCCUUGGCUACGGAAUAACUCAGUGCAAGUGGAGCUAAUGCCGGAUGUGACCUACGGGGGACGGAUUUAUCGGCAAAGGAUCGGCCCGCGUUGGGUUAGCUAGUUGGUGUGGUAGUGGCCUACCAAGGCGACGAUACAUAGCUGGUCUGAGAGGAUGAUCAGCCACCCUGGGACUGCGACACGGCCCAGACUCCUACGGGAGGCAGCAGUGGGGAAUAUUGGACAAUGGGCGCAAGCCUGAUCCAGCCAUGCCGCGUGAGUGAUGAAGGUCUUAGGAUUGUAAAGCUCUUUCACCGGUGAAGAUAAUGACGGUAGCCGGAGAAGAAGCCCCGGCUAACUUCGUG
rnacentral:rRNA from 1 species